rnacentral:lncRNA from 1 species
GUGUGCUCUUCCGAUCUAUCCAGGACAGGGCUCUGUGCUGCCACUCCUCCCUUACACAGUGGCCACAAGGGUUUUGAGACCAGCUCACUAUUGACUUCAGGCUUGUGGGCCUGCUCUCCUUCCACAAGAAUCUUAGGUUUGCAACUGAGAGGCAGCCAUAUGGAGCCUGUGUGCAACACAUGUAUGUAGUGCAAGUAACGCACGUGAGUGCCACACUGGCCCUGGAGCCUUUGUGGGGUCAGUGGUCGGCCCCAGCACCUCAGCUAGGUAUCCGCUUUCAGUUUUGUGCUCACCUCUUACGGCAGGAGUAGGGAGGACUGCCUGUUCUUUGACUGGCUUUCCAGGUGAAGUCAGGCUUUUGUCUCAUGCUUCUAGGGAAGGUUUGUCAGCUGCUAUAGAACCGACUACUCUGAGCUUUCUUCUACCUGUUAAAGUUGGGACCUACUGGGCACCCGUGCAGCCCCAAGUGGUCUGGCUUGAGUGCUGUUAAGCCAUGGUGGCUCAUCCCCACGGUUCACCUGUGCUGUUCAUCUGUGACUGCGCACAGCAGGCUCUGC